UCAGGAUGAACGCUAGCGGCGCGCUUAAUGCAUGCAAGUCGAGCGAUGAGGCCCUCUUCGGAGGGUCAUCAGCGGCAGACGGGUGAGUAACACGUAGGUGACCUGCCCUAAAGAUGGGGAUAACGGAUGGAAACAUGCGCUAAUACCCAAUGGUCCUGUAGAGUCAAAUCUAUAGGUAAAGCUUCGGCACUUUAGGAGGGGCCUGCGGCCCAUCAGCUAGUUGGUAGGGUAACGGCCUACCAAGGCAAAGACGGGUAGGGGGUGUGAGAGCAUGACCCCCCACAAUGGGACUGAGACACGGCCCAUACUCCUACGGGAGGCAGCAGCAGGGAAUAUUGCACAAUGGACGGAAGUCUGAUGCAGCGACGCCGCGUGGAUGAUGAAGGCCCUCGGGUCGUAAAAUCCUUUUCAGGGGGAAGAGGAAGGACGGUACCCUUGGAAUAAGCGUCGGCUAACUACGUGCCAGCAGCCGCGGUAAGACGUAGGACGCAAGCGUUAUCCGGAUUUACUGGGCGUAAAGCGUCUGUAGGCGGAUCGAUAAGUUGGGCGUGAAAGCUCCGUGCUUAACGCGGAGAGGUCGUUCAAGACUGUCGAACUAGAGGGCAUCAGAGGAGCAUGGAAUUUCCGGUGUAGCGGUAAAAUGCGCAGAUAUCGGAAGGAACACCAGUGGCGAAGGCGGUGCUCUGGGGUGUACCUGACGCUGAGAGACGAAAGCUAGGGGAGCGAACAGGAUUAGAGACCCUGGUAGUCCUA
rnacentral:rRNA from 1 species